CAAAAAUGUAUCGUCAAUUAUACCUUACGGGGACACACUGUAUAUAUAUUAAUAAUUUUUUCGGAAACAGGUUUAGGUGGUGAAUUUACACUUAUAAAAGGCAUAAACAAACGAUAUUUCCAUGAUCAAUCGCCCUCUCUUGAGGGGCGCCCAAGUUAUGUUUUGUAAUUUAUUAUGAGUGAUUUAAAAAUGUACCAAUAGAUGGUACACAUUUUGUACGGGUUAAUAAGAUGUAAAGUUCAAGACAUACUCGGGUUUUGUACUUCAAACAGAACGGUCUCAGUUCGCCUAUACCCAUUUACGCCAAUACAUUUAUAUUAAAUUCAUUGUGACGGGGAAGGAAGAGAAGAGAAAGACUAAUUAAAGAUAGUUAUGAGGUGA